CACUGCCGAGAAAAGCCUCUAGAUAGAAAAUAGGUGCCCGUACCGCAAACCGACACAGGUAGUCAAGAUGAGAAUUCUAAGGUGAGCGAGCGAACUCUCGUUAAGGAACUCGGCAAAAUGACCCCGUAACUUCGGGAGAAGGGGUGCUCUUUAGGGUUAACGCCCAGAAGAGCCGCAGUGAAUAGGCCCAAGCGACUGUUUAUCAAAAACACAGGUCUCUGCUAAACCGUAAGGUGAUGUAUAGGGGCUGACGCCUGCCCGGUGCUGGAAGGUUAAGAGGAGUGGUUAGCUUCUGCGAAGCUACGAAUCGAAGCCCCAGUAAACGGCGGCCGUAACUAUAACGGUCCUAAGGUAGCGAAAUUCCUUGUCGGGUAAGUUCCGACCCGCACGAAAGGCGUAACGAUUUGGGCACUGUCUCAACGAGAGACUCGGUGAAAUCAUAGUACCUGUGAAGAUGCAGGUUACCCGCGACAGGACGGAAAGACCCCGUGGAGCUUUACUGUAGCCUGAUAUUGAAAUUCGGCACAGCUUGUACAGGAUAG
rnacentral:rRNA from 1 species